GUACACUGGAGCGUCUGGUCGAUUUCGACCGCCUCAACUCGGGCUCGCUCCGCUUUAGCGUGGGUGCGGUCAACGUCAAGUCGGGGAAUUUCGUCUACUUCGACACGACGACACAUGCGAUCAAACCGGAGCACGUGGUGGCGAGCGGCGCACUUCCCCCCGGUUUUCCGCCAGUCGAGACCGAUAGCGCACAAGUA
rnacentral:rRNA from 1 species